ACGGCGUGCAGCAGGCGCGAAAACUUUGCAAUGCGGGAAACCGUGACAAGGGAACUCCGAGUGCCCGUAAAUUCGGGCUGUCCGCCAGUGUAAAAAACUGGUGAAGAAAGGGCCGGGCAAGAUCGGUGCCAGCCGCCGCGGUAAUACCGGCGGCUCGAGUGGUGGCCACUAUUACUGGGCUUAAAGCGUUCGUAGCUGGUCUGUUAAGUCUCUGGGGAAAUCUUCCGGCUUAACCGGAAGGCGUCCCAGGGAUACUGGCAGACUAGGGACCGGAAGAGGUGAGGGGUACUCCAGGGGUAGGAGUGAAAUCCUGUAAUCCUUGGGGGACCACCUGUGGCGAAGGCGCCUCACCAGAACGGCUCCGACAGUGAGGGACGAAAGCUGGGGGAGCAAACCGGAUUAGAUACCCGGGUAGUCCCAGCCGUAAACGAUGCGCGUUAGGUGUAUCGGUGACCACGAGUCACCGAGGUGCCGAAGAGAAAUCGUGAAACGUGCCGCCUGGGAAGUACGGUCGCAAGGCUGAAACUUAAAGGAAUUGGCGGGGGAGCAC
rnacentral:rRNA from 1 species